rnacentral:sRNA from 1 species
CAGAUUAACAUUUUAUUCAAAUUUAAUUAUGUCUAAUUGUGGCUUAGAGUUUAUGCAAUAAAUUCAGGCAUUUGCCUCUGAGUAAAUAGAUUUGAAGAUAAACAUUUGGCUUGUUUCCUAUUUAAAAGGUAAAAUUAUACCUAGAAAGGGGAUUGUUAUUAAACAUUCUUUUAGCAUUCCUUUCAAGUCUUCCCCUCUCGUCUUCCAUGGCCUGUGUUCUUUCUUUUAUUCCUUUUAAGUAGAGUAUUUGUUUUACUGUUGUUGGCGUUCACUGCUCUGUGAAGCUGUAACUUAAUCACUGUGACUGACUUCCACAUAUCAGGUAACACCGGGGACUGAUUGUCAAACAACGCAGUGUCAGAUAAAGUUUGUUUUAGGGCUGACCAAUUUGUGCACGUUUGUUUUGGCAACUGACGAGGUUUAAAAUCAGCGAGACAAGACGAAAUUUCAAAAUCCGACCUCUAGACUGGAAGUCCUCUAGGAGUUUGUAUCUCGCACCAGUUAAAAGGUUUGAAGUCUGUAAGGUGAGGAAGAGCAUCAGCCUUGUUCAUAAGCAGUGGAUACUUCACCAGUGAGAACAUUCCAGAUUGAAAAGCCUGAGAGUUCCCAGAUGGCCCCCUGGAAACCUACAUGUCUGCGAGCCUGUGCAGGAGAAACAACUCUGCCUGUCUGAGCUUUGAAAAGUAGGAGUCACACAUAUUCUGUGAUGUAGAAGAACAUGUGCUCCAUUCUGGCUGCAAGACACUGUGUCAUGGGAUUCACAUCUAGGUAUGAAGACUUGGGAUAGAUGCCGUCCAUCAUGACAGCCACAAGAUGGCAGUAAUUCCUCAUUAAAUGGAGAGUUGCCUUGGCCCUGGAGCACACAGCUGUGACUGACUUCAGUGAGAGUGGGAAUGGGUCUGGAGUUGAGCCUUCCUGGUUGGCCAUUCCCUCAGUCUCUGCUCCACUCUCUGUCCCUGAAUUUCUUGUAGACAGGACAAGAGACGAGCAUGGCUGUCCUAUGAGAAGCUACACCCAGACUCAGAGGAACAAAAAUACCUAGAGCCAAACAGUGAAUGGAGUUUGGGGACUCUUAUGGAAGAGUUGGAGGAAGGA